GGGGAAUAUUGGACAAUGGGCGCAAGCCUGAUCCAGCAAUGCCGCGUGGGUGAAGAAGGUCUUCGGAUUGUAAAUCCCUUUCGGCGGGGACGAUGAUGACGGUACCCGCAGAAGAAGCUCCGGCUAACUUCGUGCCAGCAGCCGCGGUAAUACGAAGGGGGCUAGCGUUGCUCGGAAUGACUGGGCGUAAAGGGCGCGUAGGCGGUUUGUACAGUCGGGUGUGAAAUUCCUGGGCUUAACCUGGGGGCUGCAUUCGAUACGUGCGGGCUUGAGUGUGGAAGAGGGUUGUGGAAUUCCCAGUGUAGAGGUGAAAUUCGUAGAUAUUGGGAAGAACACCGGUGGCGAAGGCGGCAACCUGGUCCAUGACUGACGCUGAGGCGCGAAAGCGUGGGGAGCAAACA
rnacentral:rRNA from 1 species